GUGCUCUCUUCGGCAGCACAUAUACUAAAAUUCGAACAAUACAGAGUAGAUUAGCAUGGACCCUGUGCAAGGAUGACAUGCAAAUUCAAGAAUGCAUAUGUUUAUUU